CUUUUACAUCUUAAACCUGGCAACAUUGAGUUUGUCAACAAAUAAAUACAAACAAAAUUCUAAACUGUUAAACAUUUAAUUAAAUGGCCUUUCUGGAUGUUACCCAGAAAGUGAAUCGCGACGUACAAAAGAAAUUGUUCAAGCUUAAGCCAAUCAAUUUUGAAGGUUUGCUAGUGAAUAUCCGACAAACCUGUCCCAAAAAAAACCUCAGAUUUACCCACAUAGAUUUCCAACCCAAUGGAAGUCUUUUAGCCCUAGUAAACAAUGACCACCAUAUAUACAUAAUUGAUUUUCCCAAUGAAAAACUUUGGAAACUCCAAACUGUGGGCUUCUGUACUUAUAUUAAAUUCUCAGAAUAUACCGAGACUCAACUUCUAGCUGGAAAAACCAAUGGGGUGAUCGAAAUUUUAAAUGUCGACACUGGGGAGGUUAUUGCUAAACUUUUGGGGCACCUGCAUCCCAUUGUAUCGGUGUCAUUUUGUAAGAGCAGUGUGUGUUUAUCGGCUUCUAGGUAUGAUGCAAUUAUCUGGGAUUUGGAGAGUUUUAAUAAGAUGCAGGUGUUGUCUUUGGAGAAGGAAUGUGCCUUAAAGUUUGUAGUUUUUAUACCGAUUUCCAAUAAUAUUUUAGUCUGUUAUAAUGAUGAUAUAAUCCAAAUAUGGCAGGCAGGCAGUUUUAAGCACUUAAAGCAAUUUCAUCCAUCUAAUUGGAAGAAUUAUUAUGUGAGAUCCAUAAGUUUUUCAAGUAAUGGAAAAAUAAUGGCCGUUAGUGGCUACCUGCCUGUCUUAGCAAUUUUCCAGCUAAACAUAUGGAAACUUUUAAAAAUAAUUAGCUUACCAGAAUAUAUAAACACGAUAAAGCAAAUGCAAUUCAUUCCUGAGAAUUUCGAUGGUGGAUGCAAUAAACUGUUGGCCAUACUGUCAGGCAAUGGCACCAUAUAUUUUUAUAACAUACAAGACAAUAUUUUAUUGUCAGAACUGAAGUCUAACUGUGAAAUAAGCAGUUUUACUUUGCCAUCCUAUAACGUACAGUAUAUUGCCUGUUUGCUUUGUAGUGGUGAAGUGGAGGUCUAUGAUAUUGCCUUUUUUACUUUAAGAAAUGAAAACACUAUUACUAUUAAAGCUCAAGAUGCCUCGGGGCAUAAAAACAAGUUGAAGAACUAUGCCAAGAAGAUUGAUUUGUGUACUAAAGUACAGUUAGAUAACGUUCUUGAAGUCGACAAACUGAAGUCAAUCAUUAAAGAGUACCAAGAGUUCCCUGAAGCAUUUCGUGCAACAAUCUGGGAGAAAAUCUUAAAAUUGCCCAACAAUGUGAGGCAAUAUAACAGCAUAGUUAAUCAUAUGGGUGUAGCGGCUUUUGAGGACUUACAAAAAACCUUUCCGCUUGAAGAUAAAGGCAGUAUAAGGUGCUUGAGGCAGAUUUUAAGUAAUCUGGCUGCGUGGUGUCCAUUCUUUGCUCAAGUGGAUUAUUUGCCGUGUUUUCUGUAUCCGUUUAUCAAGGUUUUUCAUAAAAAGCCUGUUGCAUGCUUUGAACUCUGUUGUACUAUUAUUGUAAAUUGGUGUCAACAUUGGUUUGAAUAUUACCCCCUGCCACCAGUAAACGUGCUGGCCAUAAUAGACAAUAUGCUCAUAGAACACGAUUCCAGCCUUCUACAGCAUUUCUCCCAUUACAACAUCAAACCAGUAAUUUACUCUUGGUCUUUAUUAGAAUCCGCAUUUUCAGAAGUGCUUACGACUAAAGAAUGGUUAAUGUUUUGGGACCAUGUGUUUAUAAACGAACCCGGUUUCCUCCUAUGCGCCGUAGUCGCCUUCCUUAUAGUCCAAAAGAAGUUCAUCGUAAUGCUAAACAAACUGGAAGACUUCCUUGACUUUUUCCAUUGCCAAAGACCCUUAGAAAUACGGAAGUUAAUAGCGAAAACGUACUGGAUCUUAAAACAUACCAGCGAUAUGAAUCAUCCUAGUCAAUAUUUAAAUGCUUUUACUUGCCUAAAGUGCGGAAUAUACCCUACUUUUCUGGAAUAUCCUAAAGAUAUUAUCAACUUUCAAGUUGAACACCUGAAGAUUUUAGAAGGACAAUUGAAGGAUAUUGAAUAUAUGAAAGAGAACAUGCUGAAAGAGCAAAAGAGGCAACAGAUCAUAAACGAAGAUGAGGUGAGGAACGAGGAAGAUAGACGGAGGCUCGAGGUGGAAAAGGCCUGUAUAGAAAAAAUUAAAUUAUAUCAGCAAAACUUGAAGGCUCAGCAGGAUGAGUUAAGGAAACUCAGGGAGGAUCUCUUGGACGAGGAAAGGGCCAUUUUAAUUUCUACACAACAUAAAUUAAGAAAUCAACAAGCUUCCGCGGAUUCUAAUAUAAUGAAGUUGCUUGGUGAAGGGCUUGAUAUGAGUGGGAAUUUUAACGAGAUAGAGUUGAAAAACAUGGAAGAGGCUUAUGAGUUAGAAAAAUUAGGAUUGGCCAGAAAAGGGCGAUUUCUAAAUAGUAUGAGCAGAAAAGCUGGUCCAAGCUCAGCAUUAACUAGUCAGCUCGCCUCAGCUCAUCGACAUACUGUCAAUUUAAAGCGAGAACUAAAAAAGGAUGGAACUGGAGUCGCCGAAAAAAGCCGAUAUUGCUCUAACUCUGUCUGCCAUGGACAGUUUAAUUCGAAAGAUUAAAGAAGAGUUGAACCAGGAUGACCUCAGUCUUAUGACUAAGAGUGAUUUUGUCAAAGAAAAUUUAAAAAUUUAUGGCUUGGAAAAGGAAGUGAAGCACUUACAGAAAGAAACUUCCAAACUACUGGGCACUUUAAAUGAAAAUAACGGCAAUUCCUCCUCGUGUUCUAUUGGUUCCUGCAGGAAUCCUCAACAGAGCUGCUCUAAUAAGACUGUUAG
rnacentral:misc_RNA from 1 species